UACGUAGGGUGCAAGCGUUGUCCGGAAUUAUUGGGCGUAAAGAGCUUGUAGGCGGUUUGUCGCGUCUGCUGUGAAAUUUCGGGGCUUAACUCCGGGCCUGCAGUGGGUACGGGCAGACUAGAGUGCGGUAGGGGAGACUGGAAUUCCUGGUGUAGCGGCGAAAUGCGCAGAUAUCAGGAGGAACACCGGUGGCGAAGGCGGGUCUCUGGGCCGUAACUGACGCUGAGGAGCGAAAGCAUGGGGAGCGAACAGG
rnacentral:rRNA from 1 species